rnacentral:rRNA from 1 species
UACGUAGGGGGCAAGCGUUGUCCGGAUUUACUGGGCGUAAAGAGCGCGCAGGCGGUCGUUCAAGUCGAGUGUGAAAGCCCCCGGCUCAACCGGGGAGGGUCAUUCGAUACUGAUCGACUCGAAGGCAGGAGAGGGAAGUGGAAUUCCCGGUGUAGUGGUGAAAUGCGUAGAUAUCGGGAGGAACACCAGUGGCGAAGGCGACUUCCUGGCCUGUUCUUGACGCUGAGGCGCGAAAGCUAGGGGAGCAAACGGG